rnacentral:lncRNA from 1 species
UUUUAUAAACGGAAUCCUAACAGAUUACUAACGGCAGGGGCGGCAUGAACAUUUUUCACUUUACAAGUGUAAGGACUGAAUUUUUGACAGUAUAACUAAACUCUCCGUUGAUGAUGUUUAUGUGUGUAAUUUAAUUACAUAAGCACUCGUCAAGUUUCAGGAAAAAAUGAGCUAAAACGGAGAAGUUACGCGAUUAUUAGUUUUCACUUAAGUGAAUAGUAACUCCGGUUUUUCGGUGAAGCCACGGAGUAGAGUUGGCUUUCUACGCGUAUCGGACUCCGUUCAUAGCGGUCCAAUAGCUCGUUUCGACCGGUUCAGCUAUUUUGGAACUACUGGCGCUGACGGAUUUUGAGUUUGACGCACGAAUUUCGAGAAAAUCCAAAAAUACAUAUUUUAUAUGUAUUUAUGUGUUAUUCCUUCUAUUGGAAAGAAAGUUUGGAUUUUGUCGUGAAUCCGUGGUCGAUCGUGGUGAAACAAAAUCGUAGCUUUGUUGUCUCCGAGGUGCUGAUCGUACUGGUGCAAUCCGUUCGCAAAUCUGACGGACGGAUCUGCGGAGAUCGCACGUUGAUCGAGGAGAGGUCGGUGUUGGAAAAUGGGUAAUUUCGCAAAAGAUGCGACAUUUUAUG